CUUUAUGGCGGGCGGUGCGUGGGGGUCUUCGGACCCGCCGGUCUAGCACGUAUCCCGGUUUGGAACCCGCACCGUCCGCCACCCCG
rnacentral:antisense_RNA from 1 species